rnacentral:rRNA from 1 species
ACUACGGGGGGCAGCAGUGGGGAAUAUUGCACAAUGGGGGAAACCCUGAUGCAGCGACGCCGCGUGAGGGAAGAAGUAAUUCGUUACGUAAAGCUCUAUCAGCAGGGAAGAAACACUGACCUUACGGUCAGCAGACGGUACCUGAGUAAGAAGCCCCGGCUAACUACGUACCAGCAGCCGCGGUAUUACGUAGGGGGCAAGCGUUAUACGGAUUUACUGGGUGUAAAGGGAGCGUAGACGGUGCGGCAAGUCUGGAGUGAAAUGCCGCAGCUUAACUGCGGAACUGCUUUGGAAACUGGCGAACUAGAGUGCGGGAGGGGUAAGCGGAAUUCCUAGUGUAGCGGUGAAAUGCGUAGAUAUUAGGAGGAACACCGGUGGCGAAGGCGGCUUACUGGACCGUAACUGACGUUGAGGCUCGAAAGCGUGGGGAGCAAACAGGAUUAGAUACCCUUGUAGUC